rnacentral:rRNA from 1 species
CAGUAGCCGCGGUAAUACGAAGGGGGCUAGCGUUGUUCGGAUUUACUGGGCGUAAAGCGCACGUAGGCGGAUCGAUCAGUCAGGGGUGAAAUCCCAGAGCUCAACUCUGGAACUGCCUUUGAUACUGUCGAUCUGGAGUAUGGAAGAGGUGAGUGGAAUUCCGAGUGUAGAGGUGAAAUUCGUAGAUAUUCGGAGGAACACCAGUGGCGAAGGCGGCUCACUGGUCCAUUACUGACGCUGAGGUGCGUAAGCGUGGGGAGCAAACAGGAUUAGAUACCCGCGUAGUCCCUGUCUCUUAUAC